GACGAACGCUGGCGGCGUGCUUAACACAUGCAAGUCGAACGAUGAACCGGGUGCUUGCACCUGGGGAUUAGUGGCGAACGGGUGAGUAACACGUGAGUAACCUGCCCUGGACUCUGAGAUAACCCCGAGAAAUCGGAGCUAAUACCGGAUAGGACCUUUCCUCGCAUGAGGUUUGGUGGAAAGUUUUUCGGUCUGGGAUGGACUCGCGGCCUAUCAGCUUGUUGGUGAGGUAAUGGCUCACCAAGGCGUCGACGGGUAGCCGGCCUGAGAGGGUGACCGGCCACACUGGGACUGAGACACGGCCCAGACUCCUACGGGAGGCAGCAGUGGGGAAUAUUGCACAAUGGGCGCAAGCCUGAUGCAGCAACGCCGCGUGCGGGAUGACGGCCUUCGGGUUGUAAACCGCUUUUAGUAGGGAAGAAGGGCUUCGGCUUGACGGUACCUGCAGAAAAAGGACCGGCUAACUACGUGCCAGCCGCCGCAGUAACAC
rnacentral:rRNA from 1 species